rnacentral:rRNA from 1 species
CCUACGGGGUGCUGCAGUCGAGAAUCAUUCACAAUGGGGGAAACCCUGAUGGUGCGACGCCGCGUGGGGGAAUGAAGGUCUUCGGAUUGUAAACCCCUGUCAUGUGGGAGCAAAUUAAAAAGAUAGUACCACAAGAGGAAGAGACGGCUAACUCUGUGCCAGCAGCCGCGGUAAUACAGAGGUCUCAAGCGUUGUUCGGAAUCACUGGGCGUAAAGCGUGCGUAGGCUGUUUCGUAAGUCGUGUGUGAAAGGCGCGGGCUCAACCCGCGGACGGCACAUGAUACUGCGAGACGAGAGGAAUGGAGGGGGAACCGGAAUUCUCGGUGUAGCAGUGAAAUGCGUAGAUAUCGAGAGGAACACUCGUGGCGAAGGCGGGUUCCUGGACAUUAACUGACGCUGAGGCACGAAGGCCAGGGGAGCGAAAGGGAUUAGAUACCCUAGUAGUC